GAGGGGCCUGUAUGUACAAGAAUAAACCUGCUAACUUUUUUCUACCAGGACUAACCCCCUGGGCCCCCC
rnacentral:tRNA from 1 species